rnacentral:rRNA from 1 species
GACAGAGGGUGCAAACGUUGUUCGGAAUUACUGGGCGUAAAGCGCGUGUAGGCGGCUAAGCAAGUCGGAUGUGAAAGCCCUGGGCUCAACCUAGGAAGUGCAUUCGAAACUGCCGAGCUGGAGUUCUGGAGAGGAAGGCGGAAUUCUCGGUGUAGAGGUGAAAUUCGUAGAUAUCGAGAGGAACACCUGUGGCGAAGGCGGCCUUCUGGACAGCAACUGACGCUGAGACGCGAAAGCGUGGGGAGCAAACAGGAUUAGAAACCCCAGUAGUCC